rnacentral:rRNA from 1 species
UACGUAGGGGGCAAGCGUUGUCCGGAAUCAUUGGGCGUAAAGAGCGUGUAGGCGGCCCGGUAAGUCCGCUGUGAAAGUCCAGGGCUCAACCCUGGGAUGCCGGUGGAUACUGUCGGGCUCGAGUCCGGAAGAGGAGUGUGGAAUUCCUGGUGUAGCGGUGGAAUGCGCAGAUAUCAGGAAGAACACCAACGGCGAAGGCAGCUCGCUGGGACGGUACUGACGCUGAGACGCGAAAGCGUGGGGAGCGAACAGG